GCAACCUUUCAUUUGAAAGUCUGCCAACUUAUCCUUGUAGUUUAUUUUAUAUGAUAUUUUCUAUGGAAACGAGAUAAUCCGAGAUUUGACCGUGACAAGCAGCUUAAAAAAUAAAAACAAGUGUAACCAUGUAAUAAAAAGAGCUGUUGGAGCAAUAAAGAAAAUGAUCAAAGUA